rnacentral:rRNA from 1 species
ACUUGCGCACAACUUAGAUUAUUUAAGUUUAGAAUAUGAGAAACUAAGUUAUAUGUUUAGUUAUAUUUUUACUGAUUUUUAUAGAGUAAAGAUAGAAAUAAAACUUAGUAAAAUCAGUAAAAAUAUUCUUAGACUAAAGUUAAGUAGUUUAAGUUGUGUGCAAGU